rnacentral:rRNA from 1 species
CUUGGUCAUUUAGAGGAAGUAAAAGUCGUAACAAGGUUUCCGUAGGUGAACCUGCGGAAGGAUCAUUAAUGAGAACUAGGGGUGGCGGCCUUGGCUGCUACUCCGAACACUCCACCCUUUGUUUACAUACCUUUGUUGCUUUAGCAGGCCCGCUUAACAGCCGCCGGCACCUGCUGGUCCGUGCCUGCUAGAGAACCUAAAACUCUUGUUAAUAAUAUUGUCUGAGUACUAUAUAAUAGUUAAAACUUUCAACAACGGAUCUCUUGGUUCUGGCAUCGAUGAAGAACGCAGCGAAAUGCGAUAAGUAUGUGAAUUGCAGAAUUCAGUGAAUCAUCGAAUCUUUGAACGCACAUUGCGCCCUCUGGUAUUCCGGGGGGCAUGCCUGUUCGAGCGUCAUUACACCACUCAAGCUCUGCUUGGUAUUAGGCCUCACCUGCUAAAGGCGGGCCGUAAAAUCAGUGGCGGUGCCAUCUGGCUUCAAGCUUAGUAAUUUUUCUAGCUUAGGAGUACCAGUUGUGUGCUUGCCAGCAACCCCAAUUUUUUUAAGGUUGACCUCGGAUCAGGUAGGGAUACCCGCUGAACUUAAGCAUAUCAAUAAGCGGAGGA